UAGCUAACGCAUUAAGUGCCCCGCCUGGGGAGUACGGCUGCAAGGCUAAAACUCAAAGGAAUUGACGGGGGCCCGCACAAGCGGCGGAGCAUGUUGACUAAUUCGAGGCAAAGCGAAGAACCUUACCUGGGCUUGACAUGUACCGAAAAGCCAUAGAGAUACGGUGUCAUUACGGGGCGGUACACAGGUGGAGCAUGGCGGUGGUCAGCUCGUGUGGUGAGACGUUGGGUUAAGUCCCGCAAGGAGCGCAACCCU
rnacentral:rRNA from 1 species